UUGCUUUCUUUGCUGGCGACCGGCGCACGGGUGAGUAACACGUAUCCAACCUGCCCUUUACUCGGGGAUAGCCUUUCGAAAGAAAGAUUAAUACCCGAUAGUAUAAUGAUUCCGCAUGGUUUCAUUAUUAAAGGAUUCCGGUAAAGGAUGGGGAUGCGUUCCAUUAGGUUGUUGGUGAGGUAACGGCUCACCAAGCCUUCGAUGGAUAGGGGUUCUGAGAGGAAGGUCCCCCACAUUGGAACUGAGACACGGUCCAA
rnacentral:rRNA from 1 species